ACUCAAAGUAUCCAAAUGUCUGAAACCCUGAGUCAGAGCCUAGAGAAACCUUAGGAUAAAAGGGAGUCACAGGCAUAGAACAAUUCGAAGUCUCACUGAGGAAAGGACACUUUGCCUCAGACUGGGACAAUCGGCACUCCCGCCUGCUGUACAAAGUAUUGGGACUUCCCUGGCUGAUUGUGGUGUGGAUGUUAUCCACUUACCACUCUUCUUCAGCCUGAGUAUCAUCUACUAACUGUAUAUACUCAAUAUCUCCAUCUUCAGCCCACUCUGUGUGGCAAUAGGUAACCUGUGUGCACUGCACUGGAGGAUUAACUUUGCCCUCAGGCUUCUGAGAGGGCUCAGUCACUGGAAGACGCCAGCUGUUCAGAGUUCUGGAAUAUGAGGUGGGGUAUUUAUUCUCCUGGUUCUCUCCCAUCUGGGCCUCAGAGUGGUGAAUUAUUUUAUCCAAAGCCAAAGUUACUGUGGGGUGGCCCUUUCUUCCAGCACUUUCUUGUUUUCUAUAACACCACUCAUUCUCAUGCCCCUUCCGAUGCCAGCUCUGGAGUGCUUCUCCAUUCCUUCUUGGUUUCCUUUCACCUGCCCACACCUUCCCUUUGUGAAUACUCACUUUAUUAAACUCUUCUCAAUUACCUCCUUAGAGUAUGCAUCUGCUUCCUUUGGAAACAUUGAUGAUAUAGAUCCCACUUACAAGUGAAAAAUUACUCCAAAAUAUUUAGUAAACCAAAAUAUUUAAUCCUGGGGCAUUUUGGAAGUUGUGCAUAGAAAUAGGAUCCAGCAGACCAUAGUGAGAAUGAGUGUCUGCUGAAGUAAAGGGAAAAUAAGGAGUGUAGGAUAUGAAGGAAGUCUAGGAAAUAUGUUAGUUCUAUCAAACGCUGAUGAGUGGUUGAAGAGUGUGGGGAUAAAAAAGUGUAAUUGUGGGAAUUAAAGCUUCAUUGUAGAAGAUUCACUGGGAGGUGAAAGAUGGAGAUAGUGUAUAUAUGCAGUUAGGAGGUGAUGUUUUAGGUUUUUAUUCAAAAAUAAUUAAAAAUGUACAGGAAAGAUGCAAGAAUAGUCCUCUCUCUCAGUCUCUCAACAGAGUAGAUUUCACAUAACAGGUAUAGGUAUGGCCACCUAUAACUUAAUGUUUCAGGUUGUGCUUUUUUUUCUUCUGCUUUUUCUCCUCAAAUUCCCCCAGUAUAUAGUUGUAUAUUUUACUUGUGGUCCUUCUAGUUGUGAGGUUGUAUUUCUUAAGGACAAGGAUUCUCUUACAUAAGUACAGUACAGUUAUCAGACUUAGGAAAUUUUAAUUCAAAAUAAUACUUUUGUAUAAUUUAAAGUCCAUAGUGCAAUUUACCAAUUCUCCCAAUCACGUCCUUUACAGCAUUUUUACUCCUCCAGUUCAUGCUCCAGUCCAGAAUCGUAUGUUGCAUUUAGUUAUCAUGUCUCCUUAGCCUCCUUUAAGAUGGAAGAGUUCCUCACUCUUUCAUGAUGUUGACAUUUUGAAGAAUACGGGCCAGUUAUUUCACUGAAUUGUCCUUAAUUUAGGUUUGUCUAAAGUUUCCUCAUGAUAAGAUUCAGAUCAUGCAUGUACGGCUGGAAUGCCGCAUAAGUGAGGUUGUCCAACUUCAAGGCAUCAUGUUUGGAAGUACACAAUGCGUGUCUGCUUCUCAGUGGUCAUCACAACUUUGAUCCUGCCAGCAACGUGCUGUCUGAUGUCUCCACCGCACGGUUACAAUUUCCCCCCUCACAACUAAUAAGCAAUCUAAGAGAAGUUGAGAUCAUGCAAAUAUUCUCCUUCUCAUUAAAAUUCCCUCCUCAUACUUAGCAACCGUUGGCAGUUCCUGUCCAAAUUUUUACUAUUGUGGUUGCAAAACAAUGAUCUUCCAAUGCUACCACUCUGCACAUAUUUGUCAGUUAAAAUUCUACUAUAGGAGAGAAUCCUCUAUUCUCCUCUUUUUACCUAUUUUUAAAUUUGUAUAGACUCAUGGUUUUUGAUAUUAUUUAGCAAUUUAGAACCCGUUUGUCUGCCUGUUUAUUUUGAUCCUCAAAUUCUUAAGUGAUUUUGAAGUGGAACAUAGAAAUUUGGUAGUUGAAGAAUGAUGGAUUUCAGAGAAAUGUUUUCUUUAAAUGUGUUCUAAGGUAUGUUUACAUCCCAAGGGGAAUGAAUUCACAGUGUUGAAGAAAUUACUAGUGCAGGUCAGAGGGCAAAUUUCACUUUAAGUAGGUGAGAGGAGAUAUAAUACAGAGAGGCUUAGGUGGAACUGUUAAAAGAAAAAAUUUCUUUAAAAUUCCCCAUCGUCCUACAGCUCAUCUUUAUUUUUCUUUACAUUUUUUCACAGUGUGAAAGGCAAUCUCCUUGCACCAUCAAAGGGUAGAGAUUUCCUUUGGUUUCAUUGCUGCACUGUCUGCCCUGUUGACAGAGGCAGUUUUGGCCAUCCUUUAGCCUUGACACUUCUCUGGGCAAAAAGUAGGCAUCAGGGUCAGUGAUCUCCAAAGGUCUUGGGAAACAUAUCAGGUUUUCCUGGACUCUCUCUUGAGGUGCCUCACUCCGGUGGCCAUUCUGAGGUAGGUGGACCCAUUUCUGAUGAGCAGGAGGCAUCCAGUCAAGGCGUGAAAUGUUAACCUCACCUUCUUAACAGGUGCUUGCUAAACAUCCUAAAAUUUAUUUAUGGGACUCUACGUCAUUUGGCUUCAUAGAGGUACACCUUUGAUACCUGCUGGAUGGGAUGUGAAUGUGGACACUACAGUUUUCUCUACUCCUUGGAAUUCCUUUCUGUGAAUCUUCUCUUAGCUGUAGAUUUUACUUCUAUUGCCUGUAGAAGAUAAUGGUCCAGGGCAUGUUAUCUUACUUAACAAGUCUGUGGGGGAUGUUUCUAGAAUCUCUCUUUAGAAUCUACAGUACCUAUCACUCAUUGAUCUAAUUUUGAGAGCUCUUCUCAUCAUAAGAGAAGUCCAUUCCAUGUAAUAUAAACUCUCAUAGAAUUUAACAAGGCCUUGAGCAGAGGGAAUAGUAACUUCUUAAAGAUAUUGUUUGCCAUGAUAAUUUUAAGGAAACAGGGAAAAGUAUGAAUGAAAAAGCCAGGAUGAACAUAUAAUUUAUCACGUAUACCAGGACACUUGAGAAUUAAAGGGGGCACUAUCAAUUAUAACAGAAUAAGAAACUAUGACUAUGACUGUCCCAGGCACACUGGAUGUAUGGUUAUCUUAGUUAUGACAUAAAGAGAAUAAAAAAUAAGAAUUAAUAUUAACAGGUAUAUGGUACUUUAUAUUUGGUCAAGUGGAAAGUAGUCUGGGAGAAGAAAGAGUGUAGGGACUGAUUAAGUGAGACCAUUAAGUGUUGUGAGUAGCUUGGUCCAUUAGAGAAACUCGACUGAGUUUCAGUUACUAUACUAGGCAUAUUGCCUACAUCACGUCUAAUUCUCGUGGAAACUGGGCCUGAUACACCAUUAUCAAGUACAUACUAUUACAAUGUUCUUACAUUUGAAGCUCAGGUAGUUCAUAUGAUUCAAAUCCAGAUUAAAACCCAAGGAUACAGUGGUGGGGAAGAGAAAGUAAAUGUUUGAAAGGAAGGUGAAUAAAACAGUUAUGGUUAUGGCAGUAAAACUGCUUUGAAAUUUGACUCUGAUAUUCAGAGGAAAUUCAGUCACAUUGUUUUGUGUAUAGCUAAAUUGUAAUCUAGGUCCCCAACUACAGUUGGAAAGGAGGUGAUUAUUACACGCGUAAUUCAUUUGAAAGUUUUACUAGAAAAAGAAAGAAAACUAAAAUAUGUUGCUCAAAAGCAGAAUAUUUAUAAAAUCAGAUGAGCGCCUGCAGGGGGCAGUAGGAACGUGAUGCUUCCGAAAUCAGAGAAAUGAAAGUUAAAACAAAGUGAUGUACAUUUUCACCUCCGAAAUCACAAACGAUCCAGUCCAAGGAACUAGCAGUGCUUCUGGGACACGGAAAGCCGCAACGAUGAGCAGCUAGCACUCUAGCCAGGGACAAGCUUUCUUUUUUGCUGUAAAUAAGUUGUUGCCACCUAGAAACUGCCUGCACUGAGAAAUGAGUGCUGAGCAAACGAGAACCAUCUGGCUUAGAGGAAUGAACAGUGCUGUCACCUAGAAAAUGCCAAUUAGGGACAAAAUCACGCGGCGAUUAAAGAACAAAGACACAACAAUGUCGGUCCAGCAGUACCACCGAAAGUGCGAACGGAACGUCACCUCGCCGCAAAUAACGGUGCUACACAGGAAACAGCCGGCCAGGGAGGCGAGCGGUGCUAGGACCGAGGAAGCAACGGCACAGAGUACCAAGGUGCCCUGCGAACGAAAAAGGUUCUCUUUGGCGCUAGGAGCGAUGCCUCAACUGAGAAACCUCAGGCUAGGCACAGAUGGCGAAAGUGCUGAUGAGAAACCGCCGCUGGUCGGAAAGAGCAGCGCUGAUGAGACACCAGAGGAGCUGGUGGUGCUGGGACCUGGUAGGCUCCGUGGGGCACCCAGCAAUGAGCGGUGCUUUCUCAGAGAUAAUUAUCUGUCUCGGAGCGAUCAACAGUGGUGCAAAAGAGAGUCGGCCAGCCCUGAGAACCGGCAAUAGGCCACCGAAAAAGAUCCGACUUGGAGGGAUCAUUGGGGCUGUCCUGGAGAAAAGAGCCACUCCGUGUGACUGAAAAAGCGCCAUGAAACGCUAGUAAGGAAAUGGCAAUGAUUAAAAAUAAAUCAAUAAAUAACGC
ensembl:lncRNA